rnacentral:rRNA from 1 species
UACAGAGGUCCCGAGCGUUGUUCGGAUUCACUGGGCGUAAAGGGUGCGUAGGUGGCGGGGUAAGUUUGAUGUGAAAUCUCCGGGCUUAGCCCGGAAAAUGCAUUGAAUACUAUUCUGCUUGGAGGGUUGGAGGGGGGACUGGAAUUCUCGGUGUAGCAGUGAAAUGCGUAGAUAUCGAGAGGAACACCAGUGGCGAAGGCGAGUCCCUGGACAACACCUGACACUGAGGCACGAAAGCUAGGGGAGCAAACAGG